UUUCCGUAGGUGAACCUGCGGAAGGAUCAUUACAGUGUUCCCUGCCCUUCGGGGUAGGAUCGCCACCCUUGAUUAUUUAUGAGUGUUGCUUUGGCGGGCCUCGCGGCCUGGCCGCGCCCCGGCUUCGGCGGGGGAGCGCCCGCCAGGGGAUUCUACAAACCUGAUUAUUAGUGUCGUCUGAGUACUAUAUAAUAGUUAAAACUUUCAACAACGGAUCUCUUGGUUCUG
rnacentral:misc_RNA from 1 species